ensembl:snRNA U4 U4 spliceosomal RNA
AGCUUAGUGCAGUGGCAGUAUCGUAGCCAAUGAGGUUUAUCCGAGGUGUGAUUAUUGCUAAUUAAAAUAUUAGCUUUAACAAUAAUUUAUCAUAUUAUAUUUACUAUUAUA